rnacentral:rRNA from 1 species
GGACGCAAGUCUGAUGGAGCAACGCCGCGUGAGUGAAGAAGGGUUUCGGCUCGUAAAGCUCUGUUGGUAGUGAAGAAAGAUAGAGGUAGUAACUGGCCUUUAUUUGACGGUAAUUACUUAGAAAGUCACGGCUAACUACGUGCCAGCAGCCGCGGUAAUACGUAGGUGGCAAGCGUUGUCCGGAUUUAUUGGGCGUAAAGCGAGUGCAGGCGGUUCAAUAAGUCUGAUGUGAAAGCCUUCGGCUCAACCGGAGAAUUGCAUCAGAAACUGUUGAACUUGAGUGCAGAAGAGGAGAGUGGAACUCCAUGUGUAGCGGUGGAAUGCGUAGAUAUAUGGGAGAACACCAGUGGCGAAGGCGGCUCUCUGGUCUGCAACUGACGCUGAGGCUCGAAAGCAUGGGUAGCGAACAGGAUUAGAUACCCUGGUAGUCCAUGCCGUAAACGAUGAGUGCUAAGUGUUGGGAAGUUUCCGCCUCUCAGUGCUGCAGCUAACGCAUUAAGCACUCCGCCUGGGGAGUGCGACCGCAAGGUUGAAACUCAAAGGAAUUGACGGGGGCCCGCACAAGCGGUGGAGCAUGUGGUUUAAUUCGAAGCAACGCGAAGAACCUUACCAGGUCUUGA